rnacentral:snRNA from 1 species
GGCUGUGAGGGUUAUCUGACUGCGACAUCUGUCACCCCAUUGAUCACCACCAGAGUUAAUGACUCUGAUCUGGCUGGUGAGGCGGUGAGGCAAGUGUUCCAUUCCUCCCUUACUGCUCCCUGUACAUCUCUUCCCAAGCUGUGUGCUUAUGCUCAGUGGACAAGGAUGACCUCCUGCAACAGAGGAGGCCCAUUAUUUGCUCAAGGGUUUAUGUAUAUCUCUGCUUCCCUGCUAGAACCUCCAAAUAAGCUCUCAGGGUCUAUUUGUAGAAGAACAUAGCAUAAUCAAGCUUCUGAGAGUCCAGACACAUCGAAAUGAGGCAUGGCAUGUGGCAGUCUGCCUUUCUUA